rnacentral:rRNA from 1 species
AUACGGAGGGUGCAAGCGUUAAGCGGAAUUACUGGGCGUAAAGCGCGCGUAGGCGGCUUUGUAAGUCGGAUGUGAAAGCCCCGGGCUCAACCUGGGAAUUGCAUUCGAUACUGCAGAGCUAGAGUAUGGUAGAGGGAAGUGGAAUUUCCGGUGUAGCGGUGAAAUGCGUAGAUAUCGGAAGGAACACCAGUGGCGAAGGCGACUUCCUGGGCCAAUACUGACGCUGAGGUGCGAAAGCGUGGGGAACAAACAGGAUUAGAAACCCCAGUAGUCC